CGAGUUGGCUGGGCGGCCGCGGCUCGCACUGUCGCAGCGGCGAGUCGAGGAAAGUCCGGACUUCACAGAGCAGGGUGAUUGCUAACGGCAAUCCGAGGUGACUCGCGGGAAAGUGCCACAGAAAACAGACCGCCAUCCGGAAGGGUGGUAAGGGUGAAACGGUGCGGUAAGAGCGCACCAGCAUUCCGGGUGACCGGAAUGGCUAGGCAAACCCCACCCGAAGCAAGGCCAAGAAGGCCGCACUUCGGUGCGGUCGCGCAGGCGCUCGAGGGUUGCUCGCCCGAGCCUGCGGGUAGGUCGCUUGAGGCACCCGGUGACGGUGUGUCCAGAUGGAUGGUCGCCGCCGCGCCGUCAGGCGCGGAACAGAAUCCGGCUUACAGGCCAACUCGUCCG
rnacentral:RNase_P_RNA from 1 species